rnacentral:rRNA from 1 species
GACGAACGCUGGCGGCGUGCUUAACACAUGCAAGUCGAACGAAGUGGCGAACGGGUGAGUAACGCGUAAUCAACCUGCCCUUCAGAGGGGGACAACAGUUGGAAACGACUGCUAAUACCGCAUACUGAAGGAGGGGAUUGCGUCUGAUUAGCUAGUUGGAGGGGUAACGGCCCACCAAGGCGAUGAUCAGUAGCCGGGCUGGAGGGAUGGACGGGCACAUGGGGAAUGGGAAAAGGGCCAGAAUCCUACGGGAGGGAGCAGUGGGGAAUCUGCCGCAAUGGACGAAAGUCUGACGGAGCAAAGGCGCGUGAGUGAUGACGGCCUUCGGGUUGUAAAGCUCUGUUAAUCGGGACGCGGUACCGGAAUAGAAAGCCACGGCUAACUACGUGCCAGCAGCCGCGGUAAUUC